AUCUGUUUCUUGUGUAGCCCAUUAGGAAGGAAAAAUCUCAAAUCUUCAUCCUCCAAUUUCAAUCUCCAAAAGCUCCAAUCCACUGUUUCUAUUAUCUUCCUAACAUUAAAACCUCUCUAGAAUUUCAAGAAAAGCAUCAAAAAUACUAUUGAUUUUACCAUUUUUCAACUUGUGGGUUUUCCAGAUUUUCAACCAAACACCUAUUUUUCUCCCAACGAAGAACCGGCGAAAGUGCGAAUGAUGAGUGUUUGGAAUCGCUGAUAGUAGACAUGGUUCAUAGUGUUAAUUGGGAGCUUAAGAGUAGCCUAAACCCCUACUUGAAGUUCCAAGUACUUGUACAGCAACUCAGCCAGAAAUUUAAGAGACGAGAGGUUUUGCAUCCCUUUAAACAAAAUAUUUCAAUGCCUUAGCAACCAAAGAAGUGCAAGAACUGAAGCGAAUUCCAAUUACCAGGUUGAAUUUCCUCUACGAAGAUGAGGU